rnacentral:rRNA from 1 species
AACUCUCAACAACGGAUAUCUUGGCUCCCGUAACGAUGAAGAACGCAGCGAAAUGCGAUACGUAGUGUGAAUUGCAGAAUUCCGUGAACCAUCGAAUCUUUGAACGCAAAUUGCGCUCGAGGCUUCGGCCAAGAGCAUGUCUGCCUCAGCGUCG